GCUUUCGUGCUAUAGCGGUCAGUACGCUCGACGUGUAACCGAGAGGUCCGUGGUUCGAUUCCCGGCGAAGACG
rnacentral:tRNA from 1 species